UACGGGGGGGGCAAGCGUUGUUCGGAAUUACUGGGCGUAAAGGGCUCGUAGGUGGCCAACUAAGUCAGACGUGAAAUCCCUCGGCUUAACCGGGGAACUGCGUCUGAUACUGGAUGGCUUGAGUUUGGGAGAGGGACGCGGAAUUCCAGGUGUAGCGGUGAAAUGCGUAGAUAUCUGGAGGAACACCGGUGGCGAAGGCGGCAUCCUGGACCGGUAUUGACGCUGAGGCGCGAAAGCUAGGGGAGCAAACGGGG
rnacentral:rRNA from 1 species